rnacentral:sRNA from 1 species
GUGGAUGGUGGUUCAAACACCUGCAUGAACACAUACAGAAAGGAUAUCUUGAAUUCAACGUUUUUUUAAUCCUGACUCACCCAUUUAGGCAGAUGACUACAGUGGAUUUCUUUUUUUCCCCCCCCUUGGUUUUUCUUUACUUUCUUUAAAUUAUAUUGACCAGUCACAACAGUAUAUAGUGGCUUUAUAAUGAAGAAGAGGGAAAUCUUGAUCUCUGUAUUAAUCCAAACUGCCUCCUCAAAGACAAAUGUGAAUGGUUUUUUACAGAGCCUGCCUUCUGGUACAAGAUGCCUGUGGAAUGUUCGGUGAAGUGCACUUGGAGUUCACCAUGUCGAAGGCAAGACAGUUGGAAGGGAAGUCUUGCAGCCUGGUGGGAAUGAAGGUUCUACAGAAAGUCACCAGAGGAAGGACAGCGGGGAUUUUCAGUUUGAUUGACACCCUAUGGCCCCCAGCGAUACCUCUGAAAACACCUGGCCGCGACCAGCCCUGUGAAGAGAUAAAAACUCAUCUGCCUCCUCCAGCCUUGUGUUACAUCCUCACAGCUCAUCCAAAUCUGGGACAAAUUGAUAUAAUUGACGAAGACCCCAUUUAUAAGCUUUACCAGCCUCCAGUUACCCGCUGCUUAAGAGACAUUCUCCAGAUGAAUGAUCUUGGUACCCGUUGCAGCUUCUAUGCCACAGUGAUUUACCAAAAACCACAGCUGAAGAGUCUGCUUCUUCUGGAGCAAAGGGAGAUCUGGCUGCUAGUGACCGAUGUCACUCUGCAAACGAAGGAGGAGAGAGACCCCAGGCUCCCCAAAACCCUGCUGGUCUAUGUGGCCCCCUUGUGUGUGCUGGGCUCUGAAGUCCUGGAGGCACUCGCUGGGGCUGCCCCUCACAGCCUCUUCUUCAAGGACGCUCUCCGUGACCAGGGUCGGAUUGUUUGUGCUGAACGAACUGUCCUCUUGCUUCAGAAGCCCCUUUUGAGUGUGGUCUCUGGUGCAAGUUCCUGUGAGCUGCCUGGCCCGGUGAUGCUCGACAGCCUGGACUCUGCCACACCUGUCAACUCCAUCUGCAGUGUUCAAGGCACUGUGGUUGGCGUGGACGAGAGCACUGCUUUCUCAUGGCCUGUGUGUGACAUGUGUGGCAACGGGAGAUUGGAACAGAGGCUGGAAGACAGAGGCGCCUUUUCCUGUGGGGACUGCUCCCGGGUGGUCACAUCUCCUGUUCUCAAGAGGCACCUGCAGGUCUUCCUGGACUGCCGCUCAAGACCGCAGUGCAGAGUGAAGGUCAAGCUGUUGCAGCGCAGCAUUUCCUCCCUGCUGAGGUUUGCCGCCGGUGAAGAUGGGAGCUACGAAGUGAAGAGUGUCCUCGGAAAGGAAGUGGGGUUGUUAAAUUGUUUUGUCCAGUCCGUAACCGCCCACCCGACCAGCUGCAUUGGAUUGGAGGAAAUCGAGCUUCUGAGUGCAGGAGGGGCCUCUGCAGAACACUAGCGGUUGCCGCAGGAUCUGUGAACUUUGCAAUGUGGCUGCAAGGGUGGUGGUGGUGGUGGUGGUGAUUUGGGGUAGUUAUUUGUUAACUAUGGACACAGUGAACGUAGUUUACGAUCUUGAAAUGAAACUUAGAUUUUUCUGGGGAAAUGUUCAGAUACAGUUUUGUGAACUGUAAAUCAAAAUACCUUUUUCUACAGUUUAUCUUUUAUUUUCUGCAAAUUUAGGAACAUAUUUACUCUUGUUUUCACAUUGAAUCUUAAGUUUAAGCUCUUCAUUUGGUAUUUAGGCAAUAUAUGAGAAAAAAAUUUUUUGUUCAUUUGUAAUUUUAACAAGUUGAA